AACGAACGCUGGCGGCAGGCCUAACACAUGCAAGUCGAGCGAGGACUUCGGUCCUAGCGGCGGACGGGUGAGUAACGCGUGGGAACGUACCCUUUGCUUCGGAAUAGCCCUGGGAAACUGGGAGUAAUACCGGAUGAGCCCUUUGGGGGAAAGAUUUAUCGGCGAAGGAUCGGCCCGCGUUGGAUUAGGUAGUUGGUGGGGUAAUGGCCUACCAAGCCGACGAUCCAUAGCUGGUUUGAGAGGAUGAUCAGCCACACUGGGACUGAGACACGGCCCAGACUCCUACGGGAGGCAGCAGUGGGGAAUCUUAGACAAUGGGGGAAACCCUGAUCUAGCCAUGCCGCGUGAGCGAUGAAGGCCUUAGGGUUGUAAAGCUCUUUCAGCUGGGAAGAUAAUGACGGUACCAGCAGAAGAAGCCCCGGCUAACUCCGUG
rnacentral:rRNA from 1 species